rnacentral:lncRNA from 1 species
AUGAAGAAAUCACAUGUAAGCGUUGCCGAUGCCAUCCAAAUGAUGCGGAACAACACCAAACACCUAGGGUGUUGUACGCGAGUACAUCCUUUGUCCGACUGCGGCUUCAAGGGCGGCCGAUUGAUUUGCCCAACGAGAAAAGGUUUACAGGGACGCACGGUCUCGCCGCUGCCACGGAAAAAGCCCUCAGACAGGUCGAACGCCUUCACGAUGAGAUCAACUUCCUUCACCAAUACGCACUCAAGAGUGAGGAACGUGAUACGAUCAUUCCCGGUGACGUCAUCGUCGAGAAGAGAGAAAUUCGCAGCUCGAAAAUUCCUACGAUAUUGAUAGUAUCUGUUCUGGUUGUAGUUGUGGUGAAUAAUUGUUUCUUCAAAUUUCCAACGCUGACUUUCGAAUUUUGACCAGAGCUUCAGUUGCUUUGUUUCUUCCUUCAUAAUAUUUGUUUUCGCUCGGAUAUGCUCCUGUACUUUUACCUCCAGUCUGCUUCAGAACAGCGUAAUAUGUCAAGAAUAGCUGAUAGUGCUUAAAUCGUAAAAAUAUUGCUCUAAAUUCUAGGCAAACGAGGUAUUAUAGGGAAUGAGAUGCAAACAUUGUUUCGAAUAUUUACGCGCAGGAUUAAAAAAAGUUAGCCAAAUGGCCCCUCCAUGAAAAGCAACGGAAUGUAUAUCGAUGGCUAAAAGAUGAAACCACGUAUCUCCAGUGCGGUGUUUCAAAAUUGCCGCUCCUAUUUUAUUUUUUCAAAGAAGGACAAGCGAACUUUAUGGCUUGAAAUUUAUACAGAAUAUUUUGCCAACAGAGAGGAAAUAUCAAGAAAAUUUUUGAGAAAUUACGUUGAUUAGUUUUCCGAGAAAAAAUGAAGUAUGACCGGAAGUCUGCUACGUUGCAAACGGAGGUACGUGGUUUUGUACUUUGGCCAUCAACAUGCUGUUUUCUUGCAUUUUAGAAAGUUUAAAGACCUAUGCUGUUUUCCUGUAGUGAAAAACAAAGACGUUUGACUUAAGGUCCAGUUACACGAUCAAAUUGAGCCAUCAAAUUGGGCAUCUCAUUGGCCGCAUCCUCACCUCAGGUCUUUUUCCACCAAUCAGAGCUUCAGUUUGAUGGCUCAAUUUGAUCGUGUAACCAAACCUGUAGGUACAAGGGUGCUCCGUGCGGCUUCGUCCAUCAGAGGCGGAUCCAUGCAAUUUGGCAACACCGGAUUCCCUCCAUCUAAACCCAUGCUAAAUAAUCGAUUUCUUUCGGAGCACCUGGCCCCUCCGAGCAUCGAUACAUUUCCAUAGGUUUAAAUGGAGAUAAGACAAUGUUGCCAAUUCGCUGGAUCCACCAAUGUCGUCCAUCAUUUCACAAAAUUUAAGACGUAACAAUGUCACCCUCAGCGGUCACAUAUUUUCCUCCGGUAUCUGUCCAGUGUAAGAAAGUCUCCUCUUGCUAGAACUGAAUUUUUGUACGCAUGUUGUUUUUAUAUUUUGUAUUUAUCUGUACAUAAAUAUAUCUGAUCAAGUGAUAGUAAACGGUUACUUCCUCGGAAUUUUGUCUCUUCUAUUCAACAUUUUUGUCUAUUCCAAAUUUUAAAUUUCAUCCGGCCAGAGUUUAUAGUUGCAGAUCAAAUCGCCUAAGGGUCCGUCGAACUUUAUAGCCACUUGAGUGUUUUUGUUUCUUCAGUGUAACCAGCGCUCAUCUCUCGUAGGAAACUUGCCUUUUCGGCAGGGUAGUAUCCUAUGAAGCCCAGUGCAUCAAAAAUAUAUGUAAAAAAAGAGGCAGCAAUUCAAUGUAAUGCAAUUGAAAUUUUUUCCCCAUAAAAUCACAAUUUUAUAGACAUUAAUUUGUCCACGAAGGCCAAUUUUGAGCGAUCUAUAAAAUGAAUUUCAAAGUAUACGCCAUUUGCAAUGCAGAAACAAAAUUGCAACUAAUUACAAUUUUACUGCAAUCGAUCCAAUAAAUAGAGCCCCUGCAAUUAGUAGACGAGCAACAUUCACUACACAUCGACACACCAGCAAACAUUUGACCCUGUAAUUGCAAGUUAUUGUAGCCCGGGUCACUCGAUAUACGCUAUCAGGUGAUUGGACGGUCUAUUUACGAUAUAAUCAGUCCGGCCCGAGCCAUGUAACAGAUCUAUCUUGAUCAUUUUAGCCUUAUUUUCCUUUUUUCUAAAAUUCGGCUGAUGAUGGGAGCUGUUCAGCCCCGAAACGUUCCGUAAUAUAUUUUAAACUUGUUUUUAGCCUUGAGCCUGGACAUAUUUUGUGUUUCUUAUAAACACAAAAUAUUCUAUAUUUCUAUAUUUAUAUUCUAUAUUCUUUAUAUUCGGGCUACGAAAAUGUAUCUCAUCAUAUAAAUUGAAGUAGAGGUGGUAAUAUGGCUAGUGACCUUUCACAAGGGGCUAAUAC